UACCUUAAAAGAAGAUUUAAGGAUAAACUAAUGCCUUGGUAUAACCUUGAAACUAACUGAUACAAUGAUAAAGAGUGUUCUUACUCCCAAACUGAAAUGUGGUUCCUCAGCCUCAGAACCCAUGGUCUUUGGGAUAAGAGGGAUGUGGUACUCAACUCACCAUCUUCUGAUUUUAGUCUGGCUUCACAAACUAAACCAGAGAGAAUGCACAAUCUGGUAAUCUAAGUGUGGCUGUUGUAUUUCUCCAGGUAAAUUGAAGAGAUUUUCUAUCAUGUUUGUCAAUAAAAAAGAUUGCCAAGGGGGAGGAUGAGGGAGCGGGAAGGACUGGGAAUCUGGGAUUAAUAGAUGCAAACUACUGCAUUUGGAGUGGAUAAGCAAUGAGAUUCUGCUGUAUACCACAGGGAACUAUGUCUAGUCACUUGUGAUGGAACAUGAUGGAGGAUAAUGUGAGAAAAAGAAUGUAUAUAUAUAUAUAUAUGUGUGUGUGUGUGUGUGACUGGGUCACUUUGCUGUACAAUAGAAAAUUGACAGAACACUGUAAACCAAGUACGAUGGAAAAAAUAAAAAUCAUUUAAAAAUAAAAAAUAAAACAACAAAUGACAAAGUGAAAAAAAAAAAAAAAAGAUUGAUCACCAAGGUUGGGGUGGUGCUGAGCUUGCAGGUGGAGUAAAGAGAAUCAGUUUUCAGAGGGACAGUCCUGGAAGAAGGAGACCACAUGGACUAUUACAGAGAUCUAAAGUAUUUUUCCUUCAUUCUUAUAGGUCUAACAAAUCCAACUGAUAGCAAUAACUACAAGCAAAGUAUUAAGAAGAAUUCAACAUCUUUCUUGUGACUGUUAUACAAUCUCAGACUGUGACAGCUUUGUAGACAGCAAAGCACCAUGAUGUAGCAGCGCCUUCGUUUCUUUUCCUUCUGUCAACACUAUGAAACAUCAACUUUUUCCUUGGAAAAGGAGGUGAUAUCAGUUUUUCCUUCUCAUCUUCUAGUUCUAUGUCCUAUGAUUGGUUCCCUGAUAUGCCUGUGGCUUAUUACUCUUUUUCAUCUGAAUACAUGAGGCCAUACUAUACUGGCAUCAACUCCCAUUCUUAAGGUUAGAAUUACUGAUGAUGUCUCUACUGGCUUAGAAUUGUGGCAAUUUGACCCUCUGGAUAAGUGAUAUAUGGGAAUGGGUUCUCGGUUAUUCUCUAACUAUUCAACAUUCAAAAGAGCAAGAGUUCCAGGAACAUAAAGAGUCAAACACAUCGCCUAUCAAUAUUUUAC
rnacentral:lncRNA from 9 species